ACAACCCCAUCCUCCCUGCAUCCCACCCAGAGCAACCCCUUCUCUGCACAGCAAUCCCUCACCUUCUCCUUUCACCCCAUCCUCUUACUCGUUCCCCCUCCCCACAUUAUCCCAACCUCCCUUCCACAUUAACCCCACCCUCCUUCCUCCCUCUCACCCACAUCAAUCCUUUACCAUCAUAACAAUCCUCCCCGCUCAUCCUCCUACCCCAUCCUCCCCCCUCUCCAAAUCAAUCCCUUCUUCCCCCCCACAUCAACUGCAGCCUUGCAUCCUUCCCAUUACAUCAACCCUAUCCUGUCUUCCUCAUACCUCUUUUCCCAAGUCAAGCCCAUCCUCCCUUCCACUACAUCCAUGCCUUCCUCCUUUUCCUACCCCUUGCCACCACAAUAACUCCCCCUGCCACAUUGACCCCAUCCUCUCCGCACUUACCCCUUCCCACUACAUCAAUCCCAUCCCCUUCUACUGAUCCAUUUCCACCACAUCUAUUCACCAUCCCCCAAAUUUUUCCACUGCUAUUCCCUCCUCCCUCCUCCCGCCCCCCAAACCCCUCCCCAUCACUCUAAUUCAUCUCCUACUCUCAGUGCAUUUACCUCCUCCAACAGCAUCACUGAACCCUAAUUACAUUUCUUCAAUUUCUUCCUUGCCUGUCAUUUGAACGUGUACAAUCCGCUUGUUGACAAUUUCUUCCUCUCACUUGCUGAGUAUCUCUAGCAGCUUGUUUUAUUUCUUUUCCAGAUCUGUAGCAUCUGCGUCACCAAUUCCAUUAUCUUUUCCCGAUAACUCUGAUUCCACAUAUUACUCUAAGGCAUCUUCUCGUAUCAGCUACCUUGCAAAGUCAAUCAUCUACGGAAACCCUUCCCAGUCAUUCCUACCCUCACGGAGACAUUUCACCAGCACCGCAUGUCUGUACACCCCAUCUAAUGUCUCCUCAUUCCUUUCCAAGCAGAUUCCUGACUCUCCUCUCCCCUUCCCUCCCCUCCCCUCAAUUCACAAGCUCUUUCUGCGAACCAAUAUCCUUCCGCAGCUCUCACACAAUUACAACAGUUUUUCUUCCCCGGCUAUCAUAAUUUCUAACCCCACAACUGUUGGGCCCUCAGGCCUGUCCCACGCAGAACUCUCCACAAUUAGCUACAGCACCUCUUCCACAAGUGUCCACGCUGACACUCUACCAUGUAGCUUCAAUCAAACUUCCUCUUCCACAAAAUAUUCUUCCUGUGCACUAAAAAACUUGUACCUCACCCUCAAAUCACUGCUUCCGUCCUCAAACAUUGCCUCACUGUGCAACACUGUUCUUCCAAACACCUCUCCUCCUUCCUUUCCAACGUCCCCUCAAAACACCUCCAUUCCAUCCCCUACAGCCCUCCUAUCCUAGGCCCUCUCUCCAAACACACCUCCAAUACCCUCUGCCUCCUAAGUCACCAUUAUUUCUCAUCACCAGCACACUGAACCCUGUGGCCCACUAAAAAAUUUGUGUCCAACGCCCUCUUCCCCCAAAUACUCCUCACCAUCUCCAGUACCCCUCUCCUCUAACACUGUCCUGCAUCCCUUCUUCUUCUUGCGUAUGGCGUGCACAGCCUAAAGUUGUAGGACAACUUGUUCUAUUUGAUCUUAUUUGAUUGUGCACGCCGGGUUGAUCGCAUUUGUCAAAACAGGGCGGACCACGUGAAGGUUGCAAUCUUCCACCCCUCCUGCAUUUCCAACACUCCUCUCUCAAAGUACUUCCCUUCCACCCAGAACAAGCCAUCCUCUAAAUACUACUACUUCACCUCACCCUCCGCACUCUCCCCUGUCACUCUCGUUUUCCUCUCCAAAUGCAGUCUCCAGCCGCUGAGCAAUCCUUCCCUCUAAAUACUCCAUCCCCAACAUCCCCCCCAAAACUCUCCCUCUCUAUCAAGCAAUCCUUCCGUCCAGACACUUACCCUCCACUCCCUGAAACACCUCCCUUCACUUACUCCUCAUCUACUCCCAACAUCUUCUCACUCGACAUCCUCUCCCUUGACUCCCCACUGCCUCUCCACCACCCAUUCCCUCCAAACACCCCACCUCCACCCCCAACUCCCCCUCCCUCCAGACACUCCUCCUUCACCCCCAACCCACACCCUCAGCACCCCCUCGCAACAAACAAUCCAAAUACCCCCUGUAAAUCCUCACCCUCCAAAAACACAAACUCCACCCCUGACAUUGUCUCCUUACAAACCCUUUCUCUCCAACCACAAACCCCUUCUUCAAGACACUGCUCCCCCACCCACAUCCCCUCGUUCCAAACACUUGCCCUCCCCUCGAAACACCCCCUCCCUCCGAUUACUCCCCCUCCGCCUCCAGUACCCCCUCCGUCCAAAUACUGCCCCUCCACCUACCAGAUGACUUCCUUCCAAGCACCAUCUUCUCCCACAACACCCCCUGCCCCUCCACUCACUCCCUCAACACUCCCCUCCCUCAAACCACUCUCCCCCCACCCACGCUCUCUCCCUAAACCCCGUCUCUCCAAACAUAACAGCUUCCCCCUUUCGCUCCCUCCGAGCAUUACUCCUCCCUCCAAACUCAUCCCCGCCACCCGAUCACCGUCUUCAUCCAAACACUCUCCUCGCAGCCCCAAAUCCCCUCUGUCCGAACACUCCCCAACCGCUCCCAACCCGUUUCACUUCAAACAGCUCACCUCAAUGCCCAGCGCCCUCCCUCCAACCUCUCUACCUCCACCCCCAAAGCCCUUCCCUCCAGAUGCUCCACCUCCACCACCAACGCCACCUCCCUCAAAACAUUUCCCCUACGGCCCCAACUUGUCCCCUCUCCCUGCAAUCCCGCUGCAAUGCCCUCUCGUCCCUUGUCCCCUCUCCCUCCAACAUGGCCUACCUCUGGGUACACGUUCUCCAUCCCCGACGCCUAUUCCCACCUAUCACUCUGCCUCGUACCCCAACUCGCCCUCUCCAACCCAUCACCAGCUCUCUCCAAAUCGCCUCCCGUCGCCCCAGUUCUCGCUCCCUCCGAAUGUUCAGGCUUCCUUCCGAUCCCAUUCGCCAAAUGUCUUCAUCUAUCCAAACAGCGCUCUUCAUCCAAACAACCCAUAUCCGCAAAUGCUGCCCACCACUUCGACCUGCCUUCCCUCCAAAUUGCCAUGCUCCAAAACUCCCCCACCAUCAGAACAACAUUCCCCCUCCACGACAGCGCUCCUCCUCUAUCCUCAGCAUGCCAUCCCUUCAAACAAUUCUCUUCUACCUCCCUAUAAACACUCCCCCUCCCUCCAGCCCAACCCUACAAACAUACCCCUUGCAUCCCCAACUACUUUCUCCAAUUACUCCCCUCCCAGUCCCUGUAGCCCAUCUCUUCAAAUGCUCCCCCUCGACCCCCAGCAUCCCCUCCCUCCGAAAACCCCCCCUCCACCCCCAACUCACCCUCCCUUCAAACAAUUCCACUCCGCACCCAACACACCCUCCCUCCCAAUGCUCCCCCUCCACUCCCAAUACCCUCUCCCUCCAAACACCCCCUUACACUCCCAGCUACCCCUUCCACCAAACACCCCCCCUCCACCCCCUCCCGCUAAACAGACUCUCCACCUUCAAACCAUUCCAAUUCAUCCAGAUCAGACCCUCCCUCCAUACACUCCACCUCCCCCUCCAACACUCCUUCCACCCAAACCCACCCACCAAACAUUCAUGCUUUGCUCCAAUCCCCUCCCUUCACAUACCCUCCCGACAUCUCCACCCAUCCAAACUACCUUUUCCAACCAACUAAUCUCUUCUGUGCAAACAUCCUGUGUCUGCAAACUGUACUCCCCGUCCAACCCCGCUCUCCUUCCCAAAUUCCUCCCUCCGACACAGCAAACCCUCCCGCUCCACUGCCAGUACCCCAUCCCACCAUACGCACCCCCUCUGCCCCCAACACCCCCCCCCUCGAAACUCACCCCUUCCAUCCCCAACUAUCUCUGCCUGAAACCGCUCCCACUGCACCCCGUCUCCCCAAACCCUCCCCGUCCACCCCCAACCCACUCUCUCUCCAAACUCUUACCAUCUAUCCCCAACAGCCUCUCCCCCCACACUCUCCCCCUCCACCCCAUCCCUUCGAAUACUCCCCCUCCGCACCCAACUCGCCCUCCCCCCACAACACCUCCUCCGCCCCCAACGUCCCCUCCAUCCAAACUCUCCCCUGCUGCCCCCGGCCUCCAAACUCUUCCUCCCCUCGCAUCCCCUCUCUAUAAACACGGCUACCCCAGCACCUCCUCCCUCCAGGCACUCCACUCCCAACACUCGUUCCCUCCAAACACUCCCCCUCCACCUCCAAUACCACCACCCUACAAAUCCUCCCGCUCCACCCCUAAUAGCCCUUCCAAACUCUUCCCCUUGAAUGCCGGUAGUUCCCGCAAACUCUCCCCAUCUGCCCCCAAUAGCCCCUCCAAGUUCUCCUUCUCCACCCUCCAUUAAACCUCCCGACAAACAAACCCCCUGAACCCCAACACUGUCUCCCUCCAAACCCCUUAACAUCCUCUCCCUACGAACGCUGUCCUACCCAUCUCUAACAUGCUCAUCCCAUAAAAGAUAUUCCUCUCCAUUGCAAACACCCUCUGCAGCUGCACCGCCAUCUCCACCCAUGCACUCCAUGUCCACCACUAACAUCCCCUGCCUCCAAUCAUCGCCCCAAUGCCCACACCCUCUAAAUAUACCUCCACUCCAGCAUGCUCUCCCUCCAAACAUCCAACCACCAACCUUCCUCCAUCCCCGCUUCCCCCAUCACUUCCUCUCCACCCCCACCCCCACCCUCUCUGCAUCCCAAUACAGUCUAACAUCCUUUCCCCCAACAUCCUCUUCCUCCAAACAUUCCCCCUCCACUUGGUAACCUUCAAACACCCGCUCUUCAUCCAUUGCACCCCUUCACUCCCUCAUGGCUGCACCGCCCCAAACACUCACUUCAACCAACUCACUUCCAUGACACUCUAUAUUUUCCCAUUUCAUCCUUCCUCUCCAAACGUGUCCCUUCACUCUUUCCCCAACACUUUCCACCUUCUUCCGCAAACAUUCCUCUUUCCCUCCAAACAUCCCUCCCUCUCUGGAAACACUCCUCCACCUUCUAAAACAUCCCCCUUCCUAAAAAUACUCUUCCUUCCCCCCCCCCAUACUUUCUUCUACAUAUCUUCCCUUGUCCACUCGACCCUAUUCCCUGCUGUUACCUUCCUUUGCCUCUCUGCUCUACCUGACUUCUCUCUCCCACAAGCUGUUGUGAAACUCUACGUAGGUUCAGCUGAAUCAAACCUAUCUUAAACACAGGGCUACCCACUGCAGCUGAAGCCACUGAGUUUCUCUAGGGUAUCGGGAGCAUAUUUUAAUCCUCUGUUCCUCGUGCUCAGCUAUGCUUUGCUGUUGGAUCUUAUUGGAUCAAACAGUGUUGUGGAUCAGAUUUACGCAGGCUUGUGUAUUCGUGUGACUUGGCAGAUCCAUAUCUGAAUUGGGA